rnacentral:rRNA from 1 species
CCUACGUGAGGCUGCAGUGGGGAAUAUUGGACAAUGGGGGCAACCCUGAUCCAGCCAUGCCGCGUGUGUGAAGAAGGCCCUCGGGUUGUAAAGCACUUUCAGUGAGGAAGAACGCCUGGUGGUUAAUACCCAUCAGGAAAGACAUCACUCACAGAAGUAGCACCGGCUAACUCCGUGCCAGCAGCCGCGGUAAUACGGAGGGUGCGAGCGUUAAUCGGAAUUACUGGGCGUAAAGCGCGCGUAGGUGGCUUGAUAAGCCGGUUGUGAAAGCCCCGGGCUCAACCUGGGAACGGCAUCCGGAACUGUCAAGCUAAAGUGCAGGAGAGGAAGGUAGAAUUCCCGGUGUAGCGGUGAAAUGCGUAGAGAUCGGGAGGAAUACCAGUGGCGAAGGCGGCCUUCUGGACUGACACUGACACUGAGGUGCGAAAGCGUGGGUAGCAAACAGGAUUAGAUACCCUUGUAGUC